UACGUAGGUGGCAAGCGUUGUCCGGAUUUACUGGGCGUAAAGAGCGCGCAGGCGGUCGUUCAAGUCGCGUGUGAAAGCCCCCGGCUCAACUGGGGAGGGUCACGCGAUACUGAUCGACUCGAAGGCAGGAGAGGGUAGUGGAAUUCCCGGUGUAGUGGUGAAAUGCGUAGAUAUCGGGAGGAGCACCAGUGGCGAAGGCGACUACCUGGCCUGUUCUUGACGCUGAGGCGCGAAAGCUAGGGGAGCAAACGGG
rnacentral:rRNA from 1 species